UAAUAAGUGUUUUAUGGCACUUUUUAAAUCCAUAUCCACCUUGUGUGCAAUGUCAGUCGAUCUUCUUUAUUGAGAUCGACCAAACAUCAACCUUUAUUUUUUAACUCUUUGUCUGAAAAAUAUUAUGAAUAAACAAUUCAAAAUA
rnacentral:misc_RNA from 1 species